rnacentral:rRNA from 1 species
UACGUAGGGUGCGAGCGUUGUCCGGAAUUAUUGGGCGUAAAGAGCUCGUAGGCGGUCUGUCGCGUCGGAUGUGAAAGCCCGGGGCUUAACUCCGGGUCUGCAUUCGAUACGGGCAGACUAGAGUGUGGUAGGGGAGAUCGGAAUUCCUGGUGUAGCGGUGGAAUGCGCAGAUAUCAGGAGGAACACCGAUGGCGAAGGCAGUUCUCUGGGCCGUAACUGACGCUGAGGAGCGAAAGCGUGGGUAGCGAACAGG